UACGGAGGGGGCUAGCGUUGUCCGGAAUUACUGGGCGUAAAGAGCUCGUAGGUGGUUUGUCGCGUUGUUCGUGAAAACUCACAGCUCAACUGUGGGCGUGCGGGCGAUACGGGCAGACUAGAGUACUGCAGGGGAGACUGGAAUUCCUGGUGUAGCGGUGGAAUGCGCAGAUAUCAGGAGGAACACCGGUGGCGAAGGCGGGUCUCUGGGCAGUAACUGACGCUGAGGAGCGAAAGCGUGGGGAGCGAACAGG
rnacentral:rRNA from 1 species